AUACUACUCCCUCCGUUCGGUAUUACUUGUCUCGGAAAUGGAUGUAUCUAGAACUAAAAUACGUCUAGAUACAUCCAUUUCCGAGACAAGUGAUUCCGAACGGAGGGAGUACAAC
rfam:Triticum aestivum genome assembly, contig: Triticum_aestivum_CS42_TGACv1_scaffold_063905_1DL